rnacentral:lncRNA from 1 species
AAAAAAGGAACAAGAGAGAAAUACAUUUAGUUUUUCCUUCACUGAUAAACUGAGAAAAGCCAGAAUGUUAGUCCUCCAAAUUGAAUUUUUCUUGGGGUAAGCUAAGGUACGUCAAUGCAUCAAUGUACGAUACGUGAUUUCUUUUCUUUUUCAUCUGCUUAAUCAGAGCCUUUGAGCCAAAAGCUAUGUAUGUGAUGCUACUUCUUAAUUCUUAUUACUAUGUUCAUGUAAAAAGAUUUGUGUUUACAUAGGCUAGCUAGCUAGGAUAAACACUGAAAAAAGUAAUGAACGGGGUUACUUCUUUUCCUUUUAUUAAAGUUUCUUGCACUACCAUAAGAUAAGUAGAUAUUUAUCAUCCAAUAAUGUUAAAUUUCGAAUGUUGGAUUAUGCCUAUGCCUUUUAACAGGUGUUGGCCAAUAGGAGGGUUUGGAUGAUGAAGGGUACUUAUUUGUAUAGAAUAGAAGGUAUGUAUGUACUCAAAUACUACGUCAGUUUGUGUAGCACAGGUUUUAACCAAAUCAAGAAAGCACAACUUUUUUGGUCAGGAUCUGGAAUAACAAAUUUUGCUAGAUUUCCUUGAAAUUGUUGUUUGGGUUCUUAACAAUCAGGAGAUUCUUCUGGCAAAACUUGAUUUUUGGUAUGGAAGAAAGAAUGCCAAAAGAUUUCAACAAUACCCAAACUUUCUUAUACCUUAUAUCUUGUGCUGUAGUAUAAAAUUUCCAUUUAUUAAAUUAAAUUAAAUUUAUUAAACUCUUAUUACUUUUUCUAUAGACCGUACGUUUUCCUGUUAGGGAUUUCAAUGCUGCUUUCAGCUGGUGGCCUAUCAAAUCUUUGAGAGGUAACUCUAAGCCUUGGAAAUAUAAUAUUUCCUCAGAGAUGUUUUCUUGCAUUGUCGCUACCAGUGUUUUACUGUCCAUAUUACACUUCAUUUUAUGGUCUGCCAAAGAGUGAAAAACUUGAGAAUAAACAGCCACAGAACCUUAUCCCCUAGUGAUAGCACAUUAUUUCACUAACAGGUGAGGUUCUGGACAUCUUAAUAGCCUGUUUGGCCAAAAGUGUUUUUUGUUUUGUUUUGCCAAAAGCACUUUUGGCCAAAAAUUGAGGUGUUUGGCCAAGCUUUUGGAAGGAAAAAAAAUGCUUUUGAGGAGAAGCAGAAGCAGUUUUUGAGAAGCAGAAAAAAACAGCUUCUCUCCAAAAGCACUUUUGAGAAAAAUACACUUAGAAACAAUUUUUUAAAGCUUGGCCAAAUACUAAUUGCUGCUCAGAAGUGCUUUUCAAACUAAUUAGCCAAACACAAACUGCUUAUCACCAAGAGUACUUAUGAGAAAAGAACUUCUCAAAAUAAGCUGAUUUUUGCAGCUUGGCCAAACGGGCUAUAUCCUUCCUCCCCGUAUAGGAAACAGUAAUUAUGUACUGACAAUCUCGAAAAGCCAAAAGAUAAUUAAGAAAACAAACCAAAAACCUACUUUCCUCCUAGUGAUGUUGCCCUUCGAACAAGAGUUAAUUCUGAGAAAUAGGUCUGUACUUUACUUCAGUUUUGUGUGGAACCCUUCAGAAACUAAAGUCAACUGUUUCAAAGAACUAAACAUCCUCGAGUAUAAAAUGAGAUGUGGAUAAAAGUAAUAUGAAAAUGAAACACAAACAGUACACGAGGGACUUUGGAAAAGCAGUUUUGAGCACACCAGAAAACACAGCACAUUGAAGCAUUUUAUUAGGGGAUCCCAACAUCUACAAGUCCAAAUAUAAGUAUCUUCAAACCGACUAUAUAACAAAGAUGUCUUCAUAGGACUCCCCAAUUAAUAUGAUCUCCAAUAAGCAAUUAUUACAAGACAGCAAUACCUCAACUAAAUAAAUUUUAGCUUUGGAACCAAACUGCUUCCUCCCUACCUUUGGCGAUCAAAGCUAAAGCUUCUUGAACUCAUUUUCACAUGUACCAUCUAAGCAUAACGGCAGGGGUCAGGAAUCAUCAUUGCUUUUAUUUUUGUCUGCAUCCUGACGCACAAAUUGCCCUCGCACACGCGGCCUCUGUUCUGCGAGUCUCUUUCUACUUUGGUACCGGACCUAAAAUAUAUGGAAAGAUAAUCCAGAUAAGUUUUGCUCUGUCAUUUAUUGACUGUUCAAUUGCUUCAACACCAAGAAAUGCUAAACAGUUUGAAUCAAAGUUUAAAUGGUAAAAAACUUAUCAUUUCACUGAUUAGACGUAGCAGGCAAAGUUGCAUCGUUGACUUCAUGUGAAAAUUUUUGAAUGCAAGAAUGUACUAUGAUAAAAAGGAAAAAUAAAGAAAAAAGUAAUGGGAAUAGGUAUGCUGAAAGGCAUAAAAAGAAGCUUAAGUGGGAUUUCGACAAACUACAGAAUCUGGUUAGAUCUAAGCAGGACUUCAAUCAUGUAUUGCAAUCAUAGAAAUGAUCCAGUCACAAUUACCUUUUUCUCAAAGCACCUCUCCUUCCUCUUUUGCCGGAAUUUAAUCAAAGCAGCCACUCUUUGAGCCGAGUGAUCACUUCUGCUUGCACUUCCACUCACGCUGCCAAUUUCACAUUUUUCACCCGCUUCAUUUUCAGCAACCAAAUUUGUUCCUUCAGCAAUUAGAGCAGUGCUGCUACCAUUUUGGCCACUGCUUCCAUUUUGCCCAUUGCUUCCAUUGUUACUUCCUGAUGCACUUCCAUAAUUAGCAGCGUCUCCUUCAACAGGAGUUCCUACCAUGUCAGAUGUUCCGAAAUUUGGAGCAGCUCCAACAGCAUUUCUCAUGGUCGAAUCAUCAGUGUCAAGCAGCUGUUGUUGCUGCUUCAGGUCAAGUACAUGGUGGUGAUGGUGAUGGUAG